GCCCCCGUAUCCCAACGGCAGAGGAAGGCCGCCUAAACCGGUCUCAGUGUGGGUUCGAAUCCCACCGGGGGCA
rnacentral:tRNA from 1 species